ACGGGAGGCAGCAGUGGGGAAUAUUGGGCAAUGGGCGAAAGCCUGACCCAGCAACGCCGCGUGAAGGAAGAAGGUCUUCGGAUUGUAAACUUCUUUUGUGAGGGACGAAGGACGUGACGGUACCUCAUGAAUAAGCCACGGCUAACUACGUGCCAGCAGCCGCGGUAAUACGUAGGUGGCAAGCGUUAUCCGAUUUACUGGGUGUAGAGGGCGCGUAGGCGGGGAUGCAAGUCAGGUGUGAAAUCUAUGGGCUUAACUCAUAAACUGCACUUGAAACUGUAUCUCUUGAGUGCUGGAGAGGUAGAUGGAAUUCCUUGUGUAGCGGUGAAAUGCGUAGAUAUAAGGAGGAACACCGGUGGCGAAGGCGGCUUUCUGGACAGUAACUGACGCUGAGGCGCGAAAGCGUGGGGAGCAAACAGGAUUAGAUACCCUGGUA
rnacentral:rRNA from 1 species